rnacentral:rRNA from 1 species
UACAGAGGGUGCGAGCGUUGUUCGGAAUUACUGGGCGUAAAGCGUGCGCAGGCGGUUUUGUAAGCCAGGUGUGAAAUCCCCGGGCUCAACCUGGGAAUGGCAUUUGGGACUGCAAGGCUGGAGUGCGGCAGAGGAGACUGGAAUUCCUGGUGUAGCAGUGAAAUGCGUAGAUAUCAGGAGGAACACCGAUGGCGAAGGCAGGUCUCUGGGCUGACACUGACGCUCAUGCACGAAAGCGUGGGGAGCAAACAGG